CCUACGGGAGGCAGCAGUGGGGAAUAUUGCACAAUGGGCGCAAGCCUGAUGCAGCAACGCCGCGUGAGGGACGACGGCCUUCGGGUUGUAAACCUCUUUUAGUAGGGAAGAAGCGAAAGUGACGGUACCUGCAGAAAAAGCACCGGCUAACUACGUGCCAGCAGCCGCGGUAAUACGUAGGGUGCAAGCGUUGUCCGGAAUUAUUGGGCGUAAAGAGCUCGUAGGCGGUUUGUCGCGUCUGCUGUGAAAACCCCGAGGCUCAACCUCGGGCCUGCAGUGGGUACGGGCAGACUAGAGUGCGGUAGGGGAGAUUGGAAUUCCUGGUGUAGCGGUGGAAUGCGCAGAUAUCAGGAGGAACACCGAUGGCGAAGGCAGAUCUCUGGGCCGUAACUGACGCUGAGGAGCGAAAGCAUGGGGAGCGAACAGGAUUAGAUACCCUGGUAGUCCAUGCCGUAAACGUUGGGAACUAGAUGUAGGGACCAUUCCACGGUUUCUGUGUCGCAGCUACGACAUUAACGUUACCCGUCCGUCGGGUAGGUACGGCCGGCGACGGACGUAAACGUACGAAAGAAGUAGACGGCGNGAGACGNGCCGACGACGACGACGAGGAGGUAGG
rnacentral:rRNA from 1 species